rnacentral:rRNA from 1 species
GACGAACGCUGGCGGCGUGCCUAAUACAUGCAAGUAGAACGCAGUUGCGAACGGGUGAGUAACGCGUAGGUAACUGCCUCAUAGCGGGGGAUAACUCUUGGAAAAGAUAGCUAAUACCGCAUACUGUGAGAUGGACCUUCGUUGUAUUAGCUAGUUGGCGAGGUAACGGCUCACCAAGGCGACGAUACAUAGCCGACCUGAGAGGGUGAUCGGCCACACAGGGAAUGGGAGACGGCCCAGACUCCUACGGGAGGCAGCAGUAGAGAAGCUUCGGCAAUGGACGGAAGACUGACCGAGCAACGCGGCGUGAGUGAAGAAGGUUUUCGGAUCGUAAAGAUCUGUUGUUAGAGAAACGGUAACUAACCAGAAAGGGACGGCUAAAUACGGGGCAGCGGCCGCGGAAAUUC